rnacentral:rRNA from 1 species
GAUCAUGGCUCAGGACGAACGCUGGCGGCGUGCUUAACACAUGCAAGUCGAACGAGAGGACAAGAGAAGCUUGCUUCUUUUGGAAUCGAGUGGCAAACGGGUGAGUAACACGUAAACAACCUGCCUUCAGGGAUGGGGACAACAGACGGAAACGACUGCUAAUACCGAAUACGCUUGGGAGACCGCAUGAUCUUCCAAGGAAAGGGUGGCCUCUACCUGUAAGCUAUCGCCUGAAGAGGGUUUGCG